UACGGAGGGUGCAAGCGUUGUUCGGAAUCACUGGGCGUAAAGCGCGUGUAGGCGGCCUUCUUAGUCUGGUGUGAAAGCCCGGGGCUCACCCCCGGAAGUGCAUUGGAUACUGGAAGGCUGGAGUACCGGAGAGGAGGGUGGAAUUCCUGGUGUAGCGGUGAAAUGCGCAGAUAUCAGGAGGAACACCGAUGGCGAAGGCAGGUCUCUGGGCCAUAACUGACGCUGAGAAGCGAAAGCAUGGGGAGCAAACGGG
rnacentral:rRNA from 1 species